AUUGAACGCUGGCGGCAGGCCUAACGCAUGCAAGUCGAACGAGUGGCGGACGGGUGAGUAAUGUCUGUGAAACUGCCUGAUGGAGGGGGAUAACUACUGGAAACGGUAGCUAAUACCGCAUACCAUCGGAUGUGCCCAGAUGGGAGUAGCUAGUAGGGGGGGGAAAGACUCACAUAGGCGACGAUCCAUAGCUGGUCUGAGAGGAUGACCAGCCACACGGGAACUGAGACACGGUCCAGAGUGCUACGGGAGGUAGCAGUGGGGAAGAGUGCACAAUGGGCGGAAGCCUGAUGCAGCCAUGCCUCGUGUAUGAAGAAGGCCUUCGUGUUGUAAAGUACUUUCAGCGGGGAGGCGUUACCCGCAGAAGAAGCACCGGCUAACUCCGUGCCAGCGCCGCGGUAAUAC
rnacentral:rRNA from 1 species